CAGAAUAUAGUUUAAGAAAAAUAAUAGUUUUGGAAAUUAUUGAUGUGCUAGGUAUUAUUCUGA
rnacentral:tRNA from 1 species